UGUAUUAUAAGAAUAUUAUAAGAAUAUAUUUCAUUUUUAUUGCAUUUAAUAUUACUUUUAUCUUCUAAACAUUACUUAUAUCUACAUAUUCUUUUUUACAAACAAUCUUGGUUAGUGUAUGUGCGUCUGUCGCAAUUCAGACUAAACAUUAUUCAUAUUUUGAGCUAUGACGAAUAAUAGUUGUUCUAAUGGAACUUGUAUAGAAAGUUUUAUGUCUUAUUUCGUAUAUUAGAAUCAGUGCAUCAUGGAAGAUAAUCAAGAAUGUAAUAUGGAACAAUACUGAUCAUUAUUACUCUCUCAAGUGAAUCUAUUACAAUUUCAACCAAUUUUGUUUUCAUCCUUCUUUGAUGUUUAUCUAUCACAUUUGAGACCUGCUACGAACCGAUCAACUUUUUUUAUCAUUGACCUACAACGCAGAGGAGUGUUAAGAGCUACUGUAGAACAUCUUAAGUGUGCUUGAUUGGAAGUCGUGCCAGCAAUAAAAAUAUUCAUUGACAAAUAAAAUUAAAACUAUAUUUAUUAUUAUAACUAUUACUAUUAUAGUUAUUAUAAUUAUUAUGGGAUCAUUGGACGUAUAGACAGAAUACGAAGCUUUGUAAAGUAAUAAAAGAAUAUAUAUUUUAAACCUAGAGUGAAAAUACAAUGAUGCAGUCUUCUAACUGUUAGAUCGUGCGUCUUCUGUCGAAAGAAAAAGAAACGACGUGUCUCGUCUUAUAGCGUCAUUAUGUUCGUAUUGAUUCGGUUUCUUAUCGUCGUUGAUUAACGUCUGUCGCAUCCUUUCCUUGGUAUCGGCUACGUUUUUGUCGGUAACUAUUAUAAAUCAAUAGUAUCAUAACCUGAAUAGCACAAAUUAAUUGGCAAAUUAUUGAUUGCUGUAUAUAUGAUAUUUUUUAUAAACCUAUAUGAAAGAUAUA